UGGGGAAUAUUGGGCAAUGGGGGAAACCCUGACCCAGCAACGCCGCGUGAAGGAAGAAGGCCUUCGGGUUGUAAACUUCUUUUACCAGGGACGAAGAACGUGACGGUACCUGGAGAAAAAGCAACGGCUAACUACGUGCCAGCAGCCGCGGUAAUACGUAGGUUGCAAGCGUUGUCCGGAUUUACUGGGUGUAAAGGGCGUGUAGGCGGAGGAGCAAGUCAGAUGUGAAAUCCCGGGGCUUAACCCCGGAACUGCAUACUAAACUGGUGGACUAGAGUAUUGCAGGGGGAGACGGAAUUCCAGGUGUAGCGGUGGAAUGCGUAGAUAUCUGGAAGAACACCAAAGGCGAAGGCAGUCUCCUGGGCAAAUACUGACGCUCAUAUGCGAAAGCGUGGGUAGCAAACAGGAUUAGAUACCCUGGUAGU
rnacentral:rRNA from 1 species